rnacentral:rRNA from 1 species
UUGGUGGGGUAAUGGCCUACCAAGGCGACGACGGGUAGCCGGCCUGAGAGGGCGACCGGCCACACUGGGACUGAGACACGGCCCAGACUCCUACGGGAGGCAGCAGUGGGGAAUAUUGCACAAUGGGCGGAAGCCUGAUGCAGCGACGCCGCGUGAGGGAUGACGGUCUUCGGGUUGUAAACCUCUUUCAGCAGGGACGAAGCGCAAGUGACGGUACCUGCAGAAGAAGCGCCGGCCAACUACGUGCCAGCAGCCGCGGUAAGACGUAGGGCGCGAGCGUUGUCCGGAUUUAUUGGGCGUAAAGAGCUCGUAGGCGGCUUGUCGCGUCGACUGUGAAAUCCCGCGGCUCAACUGCGGGUCUGCAGUCGAUACGGGCAGGCUAGAGUUCGGUAGGGGAGACUGGAAUUCCUGGUGUAGCGGUGAAAUGCGCAGAUAUCAGGAGGAACACCGAUGGCGAAGGCAGGUCUCUGGGCCGAUACUGACGCUGAGGAGCGAAAGCGUGGGGAGCGAACAGGAUUAGAUACCCUGGUAGUCCACGCUGUAAACGUUGGGCGCUAGGUGUGGGGGACCUCUCCGGUUCUCUGUGCCGCAGCUAACGCAUUAAGCGCCCCGCCUGGGGAGUACGG